GGAAGGAAGGCAAGGCAGUGUAAUAUUUAGGGAGAAAGGAAAGCGGUGAAGUGUAGUGGAAAGGGAACGUGUCGAAGGAAUUGGUUUAAAGCGGCACUUGGAUCAAUCCAUUGGCGCGAUUGCCCCUUCCGCAUGCUUAUUGCUUUGGUAGCUUUUGAGGGUUUGGAAAUGUUUGAGAGUGAAAGUGAAGAAUUCUGAGUUGGUCGAAGCUGGUUGUUGAUCAAGUAUUCGAAGAGUUCAAGCUUCGCCAAACUGCAUCGUUGUAUUGAGCUGCUGAAAUUAAUCCAAUGAUAUUGACUAGCAGUGAACCUAGAUUAAACUUGGUGGAAAUCGCUAUAAACUCGAGCAUUCUCUCUUUCUCAUCUGUUUAUCUUUGCUCUGUUCUUGAUAUCUGAUUACUUCAUAAUAGUUUGGUUAUAAGAGCUGUUUAUUCCUUCUA